rnacentral:rRNA from 1 species
UAUGUUAUUAUUCUUCGUUGGUUCGUUAAAAAUGGAUAAAUAAAAACUUUGCAUACAAGAAUUAAUAAAAAUGUUAUAACGAAUUUAAUUAAAUGUUUUAUCAUUAUAUAUAAAGAAUUUAUGGCAAGAUAAAGUUAUAUACAACCUCAACUCAUAUGGGACUACCCCCUGAAUUUAAGCAUAUUAAUUAGGGGAGGAAAAGAAACUAACAAGGAUUUUCUUAGUAGCGGCGAGCGAAAAGAAAACAGUUCAGCACUAAGUCACUUUGUCUAUAUGGCAAAUGUGAGAUGCAGUGUAUGGAGCGUCAAUAUUCUAGUAUGAGAAAUUAACGAUUUAAGUCCUUCUUAAAUGAGGCCAUUUACCCAUAGAGGGUGCCAGGCCCGUAUAACGUUAAUGAUUACUAGAUGAUGUUUCCAAAGAGUCGUGUUGCUUGAUAGUGCAGCACUAAGUGGGUGGUAAACUCCAUCUAAAACUAAAUAUAACCAUGAGACCGAUAGUAAACAAGUACCGUGAGGGAAAGUUGAAAAGAACUCUGAAUAGAGAGUUAAACAGUACGUGAAACUGCUUAGAGGUUAAGCCCGAUGAACCUGAAUAUCCGUUAUGGAAAAUUCAUCAUUAAAAUUGUAAUAUUUAAAUAAUAUUAUGAGAAUAGUGUGCAUUUUUUCCAUAUAAGGACAUUGUAAUCUAUUAGCAUAUACCAAAUUUAUCAUAAAAUAUAACUUAUAGUUUAUUCCAAUUAAAUUGCUUGCAUUUUAACACAGAAUAAAUGUUAUUAAUUUGAUAAAGUGCUGAUAGAUUUAUAUGAUUACAGUGCGUUAAUUUUUCGGAAUUAUAUAAUGGCAUAAUUAUCAUUGAUUUUUGUGUUUAUUAUAUGCACUUGUAUGAUUAACAAUGCGAAAGAUUCAGGAUACCUUCGGGACCCGUCUUGAAACACGGACCAAGGAGUCUAACAUAUGUGCAAGUUAUUGGGAUAUAAACCUAAUAGCGUAAUUAACUUGACUAAUAAUGGGAUUAGUUUUUUAGCUAUUUAUAGCUAAUUAACACAAUCCCGGGGCGUUCUAUAUAGUUAUGUAUAAUGUAUAUUUAUAUUAUUUAUGCCUCUAACUGGAACGUACCUUGAGCAUAUAUGCUGUGACCCGAAAGAUGGUGAACUAUACUUGAUCAGGUUGAAGUCAGGGGAAACCCUGAUGGAAGACCGAAACAGUUCUGACGUGCAAAUCGAUUGUCAGAAUUGAGUAUAGGGGCGAAAGACCAAUCGAACCAUCUAGUAGCUGGUUCCUUCCGAAGUUUCCCUCAGGAUAGCUGGUGCAUUUUAAUAUUAUAUAAAAUAAUCUUAUCUGGUAAAGCGAAUGAUUAGAGGCCUUAGGGUCGAAACGAUCUUAACCUAUUCUCAAACUUUAAAUGGGUAAGAACCUUAACUUUCUUGAUAUGAAGUUCAAGGUUAUGAUAUAAUGUGCCCAGUGGGCCACUUUUGGUAAGCAGAACUGGCGCUGUGGGAUGAACCAAACGUAAUGUUACGGUGCCCAAAUUAACAACUCAUGCAGAUACCAUGAAAGGCGUUGGUUGCUUAAAACAGCAGGACGGUGAUCAUGGAAGUCGAAAUCCGCUAAGGAGUGUGUAACAACUCACCUGCCGAAGCAACUAGCCCUUAAAAUGGAUGGCGCUUAAGUUGUAUACCUAUACAUUACCGCUAAAGUAGAUGAUUUAUAUUACUUGUGAUAUAAAUUUUGAAACUUUAGUGAGUAGGAAGGUACAAUGGUAUGCGUAGAAGUGUUUGGCGUAAGCCUGCAUGGAGCUGCCAUUGGUACAGAUCUUGGUGGUAGUAGCAAAUAAUCGAAUGAGACCUUGGAGGACUGAAGUGGAGAAGGGUUUCGUGUGAACAGUGGUUGAUCACGAGUUAGUCGGUCCUAAGUUCAAGGCGAAAGCCGAAAAUUUUCAAGUAAAACAAAAAUGCCUAACUAUAUAAACAAAGCGAAUUAUAAUACACUUGAAUAAUUUUGAACGAAAGGGAAUACGGUUCCAAUUCCGUAACCUGUUGAGUAUCCGUUUGUUAUUAAAUAUGGGCCUCGUGCUCAUCCUGGCAACAGGAACGACCAUAAAGAAGCCGUCGAGAGAUAUCGGAAGAGUUUUCUUUUCUGUUUUAUAGCCGUACUACCAUGGAAGUCUUUCGCAGAGAGAUAUGGUAGAUGGGCUAGAAGAGCAUGACAUAUACUGUUGUGUCGAUAUUUUCUCCUCGGACCUUGAAAAUUUAUGGUGGGGACACGCAAACUUCUCAACAGGCCGUACCAAUAUCCGCAGCUGGUCUCCAAGGUGAAGAGUCUCUAGUCGAUAGAAUAAUGUAGGUAAGGGAAGUCGGCAAAUUAGAUCCGUAACUUCGGGAUAAGGAUUGGCUCUGAAGAUUGAGAUAGUCGGGCUUGAUUGGGAAACAAUAACAUGGUUUAUGUGCUCGUUCUGGGUAAAUAGAGUUUCUAGCAUUUAUGUUAGUUACUUGUUCCCCGGA